UUCCUCCCGAGUGCUUGCACUCAAUUGGAAAGAGGAGUGGCGGACGGGUGAGUAACACGUGGGUAACCUACCCAUCAGAGGGGGAUAACACUUGGAAACAGGUGCUAAUACCGCAUAACAGUUUAUGCCGCAUGGCAUAAGAGUAAAAGGCGCUUUCGGGUGUCGCUGAUGGAUGGACCCGCGGUGCAUUAGCUAGUUGGUGAGGUAACGGCUCACCAAGGCCACGAUGCAUAGCCGACCUGAGAGGGUGAUCGGCCACACUGGGACUGAGACACGGCCCAGACUCCUACGGGAGGCAGCAGUAGGGAAUCUUCGGCAAUGGACGAAAGUCUGACCGAGCAACGCCGCGUGAGUGAAGAAGGUUUUCGGAUCGUAAAACUCUGUUGUUAGAGAAGAACAAGGACGUUAGUAACUGAACGUCCCCUGACGGUAUCUAACCAGAAAGUCACGGCUAACUACGUGCCAGCAGCCGCGGUAAUGCGUAGGUGGCAAGCGUUGUCCGGAUUUAUUGGGCGUAAAGCGAGCGCAGGCGGUUUCUUAAGUCAGAUGUGAAAGCCCCCGGCUCAACCGGGGAGGGUCAUUGGAAACUGGGAGACUUGAGUGCAGAAGAGGAGAGUGGAAUUCCAUGUGUAGCGGUGAAAUGCGUAGAUAUAUGGAGGAACACCAGUGGCGAAGGCGGCUCUCUGGUC
rnacentral:rRNA from 1 species